rnacentral:tRNA from 2 species
GCGGGUGUGCUCGCGGAGGAGCACCGGUCAAAAACCGGUCUGCGUGGGUUCAACUCCCACCAUCCGCG